AAUAGUGCAGUCGGUUCACAUGUGGUGCAGGAGGAGGGUGGAAGGUUUUGUCACCAUCAAACGGUUGAGGAGGAUCUGAAACAUUUGAGGAUGGCUAGUAGUGAUGUUAACCAUAUCCAACGGUGGUGGCCUACUGAUUUGGGUGUGAUCCAACUAUCUAGAAACUUUCUUGCAUGAUCCAACGAUCAGGAUCUGUUGCCGGCUGGGAGAAUUGAACCAAAGGCAUUUUUCACCAUUUGACGGCCCAAAAUGAAGAUCAAGUGCGAUCGGACGGCCAGUGUAAUUUUUGACUUUGAUAAGGCACUGAUGAGGUAAGAUUUGGAGCAUUUGAUCAAAAUCCAACGGUAAGAAAAUUUUGUUCAUGUGGGACAUGCUUGGGACAUGAGUUCGAGAGAUUUAAUGCAGCAAGGAGUCCUGUAAGUUAUGGUAAUUUUUGAGGAAUCAGGAUAUUGAAUAUGGCCAAGACUUAGGGGGCCAUGAAAGCUAUAAAAAGGGAUGCAUGGGAGAAGAGAAAAUUAUAAAGUAAAAAUUGAGAGAAAAUUAUGGAGAAAAAGAGAGAGGAAG
rnacentral:lncRNA from 1 species